rnacentral:rRNA from 1 species
UACAGAGGAUGCAAGCGUUAUCCGGAAUGAUUGGGCGUAAAGCGUCUGUAGGUGGCUUUUUAAGUCCGCCGUCAAAUCCCAGGGCUCAACUCUGGACAGGCGGUGGAAACUACCAAGCUGGAGUACGGUAGGGGCAGAGGGAAUUCCUGGUGUAGCGGUGAAAUGCGUAGAUAUCAGGAGGAACACCUGCGGUGUAGACGGCUUUCUGGACCAUUGCUGACGCUGAGACACGAAAGCGUGGGUAGCAAACAGG